rnacentral:rRNA from 1 species
AGAGUUUGAUCAUGGCUCAGGACGAACGCUGGCGGUAUGCUUAACACAUGCAAGUCGAACGAGACAAAAGAGAAGUGCUUGCACGGAUCUUUUAGAAAGUGGCGAACGGGUGAGUAACGCGUGGGUAACCUACCCUAUGGAAAGGAAUAGCCUCGGGAAACUGGGAGUAAUGCCUUAUAAGAUAUAUUUGUCGCAUGGCAGAUGUAUUAAACGCUCCGGUGCCAUAGGAUGGACCCGCGUCCUAUUAGCUAGUUGGUGAGAUAACAGCUCACCAAGGCGACGAUGGGUAACCGGUCUGAGAGGGCGAACGGUCACACUGGAACUGAGACACGGUCCAGACUCCUACGGGAGGCAGCAGUGGGGAAUAUUGCGCAAUGGGGGAAACCCUGACGCAGCAAUACCGCGUGAGUGAAGAAGGUUUUCGGAUCGUAAAGCUCUGUUAUUGGGGAAGAAAAAAAGACGGUACCCAAGAAGAAAGUCCCGGCUAACUACGUGCCAGCAGCCGCGGUAAUACGUAGGGGACAAGCGUUGUCCGGAUUUACUGGGCGUAAAGGGCACGCAGGCGGUUUUUUAAGUCAGAUGUGAAAGGUACCGGCUCAACCGGUGACAUGCAUUUGAAACUGAAAGACUUGAGUAUUGGAGAGGCAAGUGGAAUUCCUAGUGUAGCGGUGAAAUGCGUAGAUAUUAGAGGAACACCGGUGGCGAAAGGCGGCUUGCUGGACAAUACUGACGCUGAGUGCGAAAGCGUGGGGAGCAACAGAUUAGAUACCCUGUAGUCCACGCCGUAACGAUGAGUGCUAUGUUGUUGGGGAGACUCAGUGCGGCAGCUAACGCAU